AUUGAACGCUGGCGGCAGGCCUAACACAUGCAAGUCGAGCGAGCGGCGGGCGGGUGUGAAAUGUAUGGGGACUGCCCGAUAGAGGGGGAGAACUACUGGAAACGGUAGAUAAUACCGCAUACUAUCGGAUAACCCAUAGGGGAGUAGCUAGUAGGUGAGGUAAUGGCUCACCUAGGCGACGAUCCCUAUCUGGGCUGAGAGGAGGAUCAGCCACACUGUGACUGAGACACGGCCCAGACUCCUACGGAGGAAGCAGUGGGGAAUAUUGCACAAUGGGCGCAAGCCUGAUGCAGCCAUGCCGCGUGUAUGAAGAAGGCCUUAGGGUUGUAAAGUACUUUCAGCCGGGAGGCGUUACCGACAGAAGAAGCACCGGCUAACUCCGUGCCAGCAGCCGCGGUAAUAC
rnacentral:rRNA from 1 species